ensembl:lncRNA
CUUCAUUGGCUAAGAAAACUGGGACACCGAGGGAAAGCUGCAGGGCAUACCUGACCCUCACCAUUGACCGUUCUUCCUCUCAUCUACGCAGCAUCCGAUUAUCCUUGCAGCCAGUGGUGAAUCCUCCGUCUCAUAAGACAAACAAACGGAGGUCCCAGGAGUUUAGGAGACUUUUUCACGGGCCUUUAUCAAGUCAGAGAAGAGCCAAAGGCUCAGCACCAUCAUAACCCAGCCCACACCUCGUGGCAGAGGAAUCCUCACUGAGCCACCAGCCCCUAACCUCUCCAUGCCAUCGUAUGACAUCAUAUGACAUCUAUGUCAAGCCUCACAAACUUGUUCAAGGAGCCCUGGCUAG